ACUUUUAAGAGUUUGAUCCUGGCUCAGGAUGAACGCUGGCGGCGUGUUUAAGGCAUGCAAGUCGAACGUGGCUAGUGCGUAGCACCAAGAAAUUAAAAAUUGAUUCCUUGGUGCUAUGUGCUGGUCUAGUGGCAAACGGGUGAGUAACACAUUGAUAACCUACCUCCGAGACGGGGAUAGCUCGCCGAAAGGCGAAUUAAUACCCGAUGGUAAUGCGGGGACGCAAGUCAUUCGCAUUUAAAGUUUUCGCGCUCGGAGAGGGGUCUAUGUCUGAUUAGCUAGUUGGUAAGGUAAAAGCUUACCAAGGCUUUGAUCAGUAGCAGGCGUGAGAGCGUGACCUGCCUCACUGGGACUGAGACACUGCCCAGACACCUACGGGUGGCUGCAGUCAAGAAUAUUCCACAAUGGGGGAAACCCUGAUGGAGCGACGCCGCGUGCAGGAUGAAGGCCUUCGGGUCUGUAGGUGGUAUAGCGGGUUAGAGGUAAAAACCGUGCGCUCAACGCAAGGUCUGCCUUUAAAACUACUAUACUAGAGAAUGGAAGAGGUAAGCGGAAUUGCUGGUGUAGUCGUAAUAAGCGUUGAUAUCAGCAAGAACACCAAAUGCGAAGGCAGCUUACUGGUACAUUUCUGACACUGAGAGACUAAAGCGUGGGGAGCAAACAGGAUUAGAUACCCUGGUAGUCCACGCCCUCAACGAUGCAUACUAGGUAUUGGCAGUAUCGACCCUGCCAGUGCCGUUUAAAAAAGCUAACGCGUUAAGUAUGCCGCCUGGGAAGUACGGUCGCAAGACUAAAACUCAAAGGAAUAGACGGGGACCCGCACAAGCGGUGGAUUAUGUGGUUUAAUUCGAUGAUAAGCGGCGAACCUUACCUGGGCUCAACUACUAGCUGCAAUCCUGAUGAAAGUCGGGGUGCCUUCGAGGGUGCUAGAUAGGUGCUGCAUGGUUGCCGUCAGCUCGUGCCGUGAGGUGUACCGUUAAGUCGGGAAACGAGCGCAACCCACGUCGUGUGUUAAAUGUACACACGAGACUGCCUACGCAAGUAGGAGGAAGGAGUGGACGACGUCAAAUCAGCAUGGCUCUUACGUCCAGGGCUACACACAUAAUACAAUGGCCGGUACAACGGGCAGCUAAGUCGCGAGACGGAGCUAAUCCUUUAAAACCGGCCCCAGUUCAGAUUGCAGGCUGCAACUCGUCUGCAUGAAGUUGGAAUCGCUAGUAAACGCGCAUCAGCCACGGCGCGUUGAAUACGUUCUCGGGUCUUGUACUCACCGCCCGUCACACCAUGGAAGUUGGCAAUGCCUGAAAUCUCCUUACGGGGAUGAAGGCAGGGUCAAUGACUGGGGUGAAGUCGUAACAAGGCAUCCCUAGCGGAAGCUGGGGAUGGAUCACCUCCUUU
rnacentral:rRNA from 1 species